rnacentral:rRNA from 1 species
GAUACACCUGUUCCCAUUCCGAACACAGAAGUUAAGCUCUUUAGCGCUGAUGGUACUUGGUGGGAAACUGCCUGGGAGAGUAGGACGUAGCCACGUU